rnacentral:lncRNA from 1 species
CUCCCUCGGAGGGUCAGCUCGGGUCCAGGAGCUCGGUCUGAAGACAGAAGUGGGCUGCCGACCCCCCCCUUGGGCUACGGAACGCAGAGUGUCCUUCGGGAUGCCCUGCGUCACCCGUGGCCCCAGGACCUGUCGGGGGCAUGGGGGCGAUGCCCUUCUUCUCCUCUUAGGCUCUCUGCGUUCUGCGAGGAAGUUUCUGACGGGAAAGACGUGACAAUCGCUCUGUCUCCGGCAGCGUCUCUGUGGGGCCAAGGCAGCUUUGAGGAUUUGCCCGACGGCCCUCCCUCCUUAUUGCUCGCCUCCUCUGCUCCCCGCCAUGCCCCUGCCGGCACCCCGGUCCCAGCUGUCGCCCUCGGCCCGGCCGCCCUCGGUGGACCUUUCUGGAACCCCUUUCACCAAGAAGCAAUCCUCGCAAGGGCCCCUCCUUGCUCCCUCCGGCCAGGCCGUCACACGCUGUGUCCUUCUCGUGUGCUUACGUCGUCGUCUCCGUGGCCCUCAGAGUGUACUACGUCAGGCCCUUGCACGGGGCUUAUUUCAUUUCUUGCUUGUUACCACAACCCUGCGAGGAGAGGCCCGUGGCUGUGUGUCGGGAGCUGGGAGAUGGAGCGCUCAGCCGAGUGGCCAGGACGUUCUGUCAACAUGAAAGCAGCAAAAACAGCUUGUCAGGGCUUGGAACCGACCUUUGGGCUGGGGUCACUUUCAGGAAGGGCUUGGCAGAGAAGACCACUUCUGGGCAUCGGGUGGGGGUGACACCAGACACCCCAACGGGCCUCUGUGGACUCUUGAAUUUUAGAAACCGAACAGAAAAUGCAGCU